GCGGCCCUGCCAGCCCUGCCCCGAGCCGUCACGGCAGCCAAUCCUUGGGAGGGUCCCGCCCAUCCUCGUGCCCCAUUGGGGAAAUUCAAUUUGACGACCACGCCCCUGUAGCAGGCCCCGCCCCUCGAGGGCAGGACUGUAGGGGCUUGUAGUCUUGGGGCCACUGCCGCCGGGGCCUUGGCUGGUUGGGCGGUAGUCGGCAGGAGGACGCAGCUUUGCACUAAAGUCGGGGAGGGCGCCGAAAGCCGGGGUAAAGGAAACAGAAUCUCUGGAAGGUGAUGUGGCUGGCCUAGUCACACAGUUAUCAGAGUCAGGCAGGAUUUGAAUCCACAUCUUCUUGACUCUAGAGGCCAGGCUCUGGACAACUGUGCUACAGUCGCCUGUUUGUGGGGCCUCUGCUCCCGACCCCAGCUGUCUGCCUGACUCAGCAACUGUGGGUGGCCUUACUCCCGUGCGUGGGCAGCAGAGCUGAAACCCUAAUGAAGGUUAUGGCCUUGGCUUUCUCUUGCUCCUUUCUGCCUCCUGACCAACACUGGUGCUUCCGCCUAUGGCCCCACACACAUGCUGUGCCUCUUGUUUCUAGGAGAACUGAUCUCCUCUUUCCUGCAAUUCUUGCUCUGGGGGAAGCCACAUAACGACAUAGAAGUCUGACUAUCCUGAGACUGCCAUGCUGAGGCAAAGCCCAAGCUAGUCAUGUGGAAAGGCAGCAUCACAGAAAGUAACCCAACCUGCCUCCAGCUAGCCAACUGUUCUCAGCUCGGGUGCCAUGCAUGGACAUGAGGGAGCCAUCUUGGUCAUUCCUGACCUAGAAGAUACAUCACAGAGAACAACUGAGGCCCCAGACAGAUGGCCCUAGGUGAGCUGUUUCAGCCAUCUAUAGCCAUAUUAGGCACUCCAGUUGGUGUCCCAGAUAUCUAAGCACAGAGAUGAAUCAUCCAUCCUAUAUUCUGUGCAAUUCUGACCCUAUAGAAUCAUGAGUAUAUUAAAUGGUUGUUAUUUUAUACUAUGAAGUUUUGGGGUGGUUUGUUACAUAAUAAUAAACAACUGGAAUAAUCACACAAUUAUAAAUGUU